rnacentral:rRNA from 1 species
ACAGCAGUAGCCGCGGUAAUACGAAGGGGGCUAGCGUUGUUCGGAAUUACUGGGCGUAAAGGGCGCGUAGGCGGCCAUUCAAGUUAGAUGUGAAAGCCCUGGGCUCAACCUAGGAAUUGCAUUUGAUACUGUUUGGCUUGAGUUCGGGAGAGGUGAGUGGAAUUCCCAGUGUAGAGGUGAAAUUCGUAGAUAUUGGGAAGAACACCAGUGGCGAAGGCGGCUCACUGGACCGACACUGACGCUGAGGCGCGAAAGCGUGGGGAGCAAACAGGAUUAGAUACCCCGGUAGUCCCUGUCUCUUAUAA